ensembl:lncRNA
AUGUUGAAGGCUGUACUAUUUGUGAUGGAUGCACUUCUGUCACACCAAGAGUCUCAUUUUCUCAUCAGUCCUUACGGAGUUGAAACUGCAGGUCUUUAUAUUAUGCUGAGAGAGCGUGUCACGGCCGUUCACUUAAACUGUGGAGCAAUACGACCCUGCAGGGAAAUAACAUGCACGCAUGGACACAUACCGAGGGUUGGAGACUAUGGUCAUAUCUCUUUCUAACUGUGGUGACAACACUUGAUGGCCUGGACACAACGAGAAAAGCCAGACUAUUGCAUUCGGUUCUGACUCGGUGUAUCCCAGCAUGCCAGUGGUGCAAUCCCCAAUGAGUGCCUCAUUAAUUACGUGCCUCUGACUUCAGAAAUGCCAGCUGAGGAGGGAGGCAUACAUUUCAUCUGCAGACUGUUCCAAAAAUUGUCUUUCAAGCCAGACUGACAGCACGCAUUCCAAUCACAGACUCACCCAGGUCUGAAAUUGCAGGUAGUUCACCAGCUGUGAGGUGUUGGGUGAGUCUUAAUGUGUUCUGUGUGUAAGCUCACUGAGAUAAAUUAGUUCCAUGACAUGAUAUAUGACAAGGAUCUGUAAUAAUUUACAGUAUUUAAAUGGUAAAGCUCAGGGGCAUAUUGAAAAAUGGUUCGAAUGGAAUAGCAAAGUAGUCUUUUAAUAGGAUUUUGACCUGAGGUUAUUGUGGCCAGAGUUUUUUGUUGCAUGAGGUUAUUGACCACCUAAUGAGUUUCUACAUAUUAAAGCAAUAAGCCACAAGAGGCCGUGCAUAGCAAUGAUUUCACCACAGUUAAGGGGGUUCUGUUCAUGAUGUGAAUCAGACCACCAUUUACAAAAUGGCAACAACAAUAUGAUCUCAUUAAUAAUUGUAGAUAUUCAUGUAAUUGUGCACAUAAAUACAUAAUGCACUUUCAGCCUUUAAAACAUAGGUAUGUUUGCCAAUUGUAAACAAAAAUGUACAUAUAAUUUUAGGAUCAUAGAAUGUUGAAUUCAUGGAAUGAAUAGGUUGGCUUUUAUUGGGUUAAUCAAUGACACUGGUUAAAUUCAGUGUUCAGUGCAAUCACAUUUGUUUAAUGCAUUUACCUAAUUUGACAUUGUAAUGGUUUCAUUAUGUUCUGUAUAAUGUCUGGUGCUAUAUUCAUGACAUAACAUAUGUCAACGUUUAAAAAAUGUACACUACUGAAAU